GCCCGGCUGGCGCAAUUGGUUAGCGCAUACGGCUUUUACUAGUGCAAUCUUGCACGGUCCACCGUGGGGUUCAGAGGUAAGCCACUGCAUGACUUGCUGCGUCAAACCAUUCCACUAACAUGCGAAAGUUCGAAUCUCUGGUCGGGCG
rnacentral:tRNA from 1 species